GGGGCCGAUGAUGACCACUGGUGGCGUAUGAGUUAUACACCAUGAAUACGUGUGGGGAACGCUGAGGUCCAA